CCUGGAGGUGGGGUGUUCCUCAGCCUGGAUUGUGAGAGGGUGCAGGCCAGGCCAAGGGACCCCACCGGUGCAUG
rnacentral:pre_miRNA from 1 species